UACGGGAGGCAGCAGUGGGGAAUAUUGCACAAUGGGCGCAAGCCUGAUGCAGCCAUGCCGCGUGUAUGAAGAAGGCCUUCGGGUUGUAAAGUACUUUCAGUCGUGAGGAAGGUGUUAAGGUUAAUAACCUUAGCAAUUGACGUUAGCGACAGAAGAAGCACCGGCUAACUCCGUGCCAGCAGCCGCGGUAAUACGGAGGGUGCGAGCGUUAAUCGGAAUUACUGGGCGUAAAGGGCACGCAGGCGGUUAAUUAAGUUGGAUGUGAAAUCCCCGGGCUUAACCUGGGGAUGGCAUUCAAGACUGGUUAGCUAGAGUCUUGUAGAGGGGGUAGAAUUCCAUGUGUAGCGGUGAAAUGCGUAGAGAUGUGGAGGAAUACCGGUGGCGAAGGCGGCCCCUGGACAAAGACUGACGCUCAUGUGCGAAAGCGUGGGGAGCAAAC
rnacentral:rRNA from 1 species